rnacentral:rRNA from 1 species
AUUGAACGCUGGCGGCAGGCCUAACACAUGCAAGUCGAGCGGAUGAAGGGAGCUUGCUCCUGGAUUCAGCGGCGGACGGGUGAGUAAUGCCUAGGAAUCUGCCUGGUAGUGGGGGAUAACGUCCGGAAACGGGCGCUAAUACCGCAUACGUCCUGAGGGAGAAAGUGGGGGAUCUUCGGACCUCACGCUAUCAGAUGAGCCUAGGUCGGAUUAGCUAGUGGGUGGGGUAAAGGCCUACCAAGGCGACGAUCCGUAACUGGUCUGAGAGGAUGAUCAGUCACACUGGAACUGGGACACGGUCCAGACUCCUACGGGAGGCAGCAGUGGGGAAUAUUGGACAAUGGGCGAAAGCCUGAUCCAGCCAUGCCGCGUGUGUGAAGAAGGUCUUCGGAUUGUAAAGCACUUUAAGUUGGGAGGAAGGGCAGUAAGUUAAUACCUUGCUGUUUUGACGUUACCAACAGAAUAAGCACCGGCUAACUUCGUG